rnacentral:lncRNA from 1 species
UAUUAAGGACCGUCAACAAGCUCCCCCAAGCUUAACCUUUGCUCGUCCCUGAGCAAAGAUGAACUCAAGAGUUUCUGCAGUGGUUUCAUAACUUAAAGAUACACAUGCGUUUAAACAAGAUCUCAUCUCUGGUUAGAGUAAACUGUUAAGACUUAAAACUUACUCAUUUACCUUUCACCAUAGGACUUGUAACAGUCACUUUUGUCUUGAGUAGUUAAAAGAUAGAACGGUCUAGUCAAGCACCAUGUCUCUUGUUGUUCGAUUAACUAUAGCUCUAGAGUUUUUGUAGAUUUUCAAAUAAAACUCAGAGAUUCCUUGUAUGACUCUCUCUAGUCUCUCUUUUGUGGUAUUUCUGGAUCCUUACCAAGGCAUUAAUGGUGUAUGCCUUCUCUCAAAGUAUGUGGUAUUUCUGGUAUAAGGCAUAGUGGCAUUGCCUUCUCUCUCACCCUACUCUAAUAAGGCUUUUGAUAUCUGGAGCUCAUAGGUGGGAGACAGCUAAUACAUACUUACAAGACAUUUGUUGCAUAGUCAAACCAUGGAUCCAGAAGAACAAGUCAAUAAGUCAAAUCAAGAUGUGCAUGUGUGGCGAAUGAAUGGUGUAUGGUGAUGAUGGUGAUAAUGGUGAAAGUCUAAUUCUACUUAUGCUCUUUUGAGGGGGUACAUACCUUUCUUGCUCUUUUGAAACUUUUUGAGGAGAAUGAGAUGCUCUAUAUUUUCUUUUUAUUUUCUCUCAGGUGGGUAUCUUAUACCCCUAAUUCUAUUGUCGGACACUUGUCCAUUUUUACCUCUCGUCUCACUUUUUUUUUCUUUUCUUUCGAGGUUCCGGGCACUUGCCCCUUUUUAUUUCCUCGUAUUUAUUUUUUUUCUCUCUUUUUUUAUAUUAGAGCACUCAUCUCCUGAAAUAAUAUAGCAAGUGGUAGUAACGAAGAUAACUUGAGCAUUUAUUUCACAGGGGAAAAACAGAAAUUUUUUUGGCUAUUCUCUCCCAGAUUAGGAGUAGAAUAUUUUUAGGUGGCUCUGGAGAUGGAAAUGAGUGGAUGUGUGUGGAUGCGUACUUCCAGAGUAGAAGCAGCAUGUAUGAGUGAACGUGCAAGUGAAUCUUGACUUAACCACAUGACAAGCUCCUAAGGGUCUACACAGCUUGACCACACUCAAUGCUCAUAAGCAGUAAAAAGUAAAUGUGUGGCUCAAAGUCUAGCAAGCAUGUAUAUAUGGCUGUGGUAGGAAUUUAAACUCUCAUCAUACAGGAACUCAUCAUGUAAUAUUUUAAAGAUUUUCAAAGAUAAAAUUCUCUAGAAUUCUAGCAUCUCUAGGAACAGAUAAACAGCAGCUCAACCUUCCCAUAUCAUAUCCGUUAACGACUUAGACUUUAGAUCAAGUACUCUUCCCACAAGUUCAGGUUUAGAGCCAAUCUUAAUUAAUAACAGUGAUGCCUAAACUUGAGAGAGAUUUCAAUUUUGAGAACUAGUCAUGGCAGAGCAACUAUUCAUCUUUCCAUGUGAGAGCUUAUCAUGAGGGUUCAUAGCAAAUUUUAUUUAUUUAUUUAUUUAGCAAACUAAGCAAAGAUAUAUAUAUAAGCACAAAAUCUUUAUUUGGGUUUUUAUGAUUAUGCAUCUUUUUUAUUAUUUAAGUAAAGUAUAAACAUGAGUAGAGCACUUAGCUGGAUAAAUGGGGUUGCUCUCCCCCAAGCUGGGUUUUGACGUAAUUCCUUCUGAUGUAGCUAGCAGGUGGCGGAGGUGUAUUUGAAUGUGGCAGCACCCUGACAGCGAUUAGGAUGUCCUCCGUCUGCUAGUCUUCUUUGAUCCUUGAAUUCUGUGGAGCUCAAAUACACAACAAAGCUUUGUGGAACUAGUUAAGUGUUAGCAUAAAUAUCUAGCCUUUAUCAUGUUGAGCCUCCUCAAUAAAUAUUACUUUCUUUGGUAGGAUCAUAAAUUUAUUUUUAUAUUUUCAUUUUUAUAGGACAGGAAUAUAUUUAUUUUAUUUUUUUAUGCCACCACAGUGAAUGUACUUAUGGGUUUUAUGCUAUGAGCAUACUCACAUGGGGCUUACUAUUUUUAACAUUUUUAUUUUCUUUUCAAGAUGAUAUGAACCUGAUUAACUAAGCAAACUAUUUUAAAUAAUUGAAAGGAAAAAGAUAACUACCAAGUUUACCUCUUGGCAAGGCGUUCGGUGUCUUUAAGUCCUCCGAACAGGAUUCUCCGUUUUCUCAAUCAUCCUGGAAUUCGCUGGAUGGCGUAGUCGGUGGUUCCGGCGGCGCGUACUCUUCAUAUAUAACUAUCUUCUUUCUCCACACCUGCCUUGGUGCACUUCUCCUUCGUACUCUGCCCAUUCGUCCUUUAUGAUUUUCCUCCUCUGGUUACGAUUGCGUCGUCUUCUUCUUGUCCUGACGUGCUUAGAGUCUUCAACUAUAUAGUUAGGGUCAGUAAAAUAGCGGCGUACCUUCUCAGAGGGAAAAUGCAUGUGGACUUCUCCAGUUCUAAUGUAGAUGAUUGCUUUAACGGUGCUUAGGAACGGUCUUCCAAUGGUGAUGGGUGGAUUGUACUCGUCUUCUCCCAAGUCAAUAACCUUAAAAUCAUCUAGAGCUGAAUGUAUGUUGGUUGUAGGGGCAUGGUUCCAUGCAGGAGCUGAUAGGUGGCUGCGGCCAUUAUGUUGACGCCUGAUCCGGUGUCGCAAAGCGUCUUGUGCAAGUUGUAUCCAUUAAUGGAGCACUGGAUGCUUGGCAUACUUAGGUCAUCCUUUUUGGUCAGGAACGGUGACUUAAGUUGACGAUCUUGACCUUCUUGAACUGCAGUGACCAUCUUAGCUUACUUGGUCCACAUUUGCUUGUUCCUGUUCCUCUUGUUGGUCCUUCCUUGGUUCAUGUCAGGAUUGCUCUAAGAUUUGUGUAGUCUUUUUCUUGAAGGAAAACGUCUCUUUCUUCCCCUUGAUGUAGAAAGUGAUCUUGGCAGCACUAGCGUAGAUGACAGCUCCCAAGGUGUUCAGGAAUGGCCCCCCUAGGAUGGGUGCCCUCUCAUCAGUACCAGUCUCUAUCACCACGAAGUCUGCUGGGGCGUACAAGGUACCAACUCAGAUGAAGAGGUUGUUCAAUAUUCUCUUUGGGAAACUUAGCGUACGAUCUGCAAGCUGCAAACACAUGGUUGUUUCUAGGAAAGGAUGUGUAAAGAUUUUUUCAUAGAGUACCCUGAGCAUAAUGUUGACGCUGGAGCCAAAGUUGCAGAGUGCUUCUAGGAAGUC